AAACACUGUGUAAGAAGAAGAAUGACAUUGAGAGUAACUGUUCAGUGUGUGACGGUAUCUUACCAGAAAGGAACGGCUAAAUACGUGCCAGCAGCCGCGGUAAUACGUAUGUUCCAAGCGUUAUCCGGAUUUAUUGGGCGUAAAGCGAGCGCAGACGGUUAUUUAAGUCCGAAGUGAAAGCCCACAGCUUAACUGUGGAAGUGCUUUGGAAACUGGAUAACUUGAGUGCAGUAGAGGAGAGUGGAACUCCAUGUGUAGCGGUGAAAUGCGUAGAUAUAUGGAAGAACACCAGUGGCGAAGGCGGCUCUCUGGACUGUAACUGACGUUGAGGCUCGAAAAGUGUGGGUAGCAAACAGGAUUAGAUACCCUGGUAGUCCACACCGUAAACGAUGAGUGCUAGAUGUUUGAGGGUUUCCGCCCUUAAGUGUCGCAGCUAACGCAUUAAGCACUCCGCCUGGGGAGUACGACCGCAAGGUUGAAACUCAAAGGAAUUGACGGGGACCCGCACAAGCGGUGGAGCAUGUGGUUUAAUUCGAAGCAACGCGAAGAACCUUACCAGGUCUUGACAUCCUUUGACCACUUCAGAGAUGAAGCUUUCCCUUCGGGGACAAAGUGACAGGUGGUGCAUGGUUGUCGUCAGCUCGUGUCGUGAGAUGUUGGGUUAAGUCCCGCAACGAGCGCAACCCUUAUUACUAGUUGCCAGCAUUCAGUUGGGCACUCUAGUGAGACUGCCGGUGACAAACCGGAGGAAGGUGGGGAUGACGUCAAAUCAUCAUGCCCCUUAUGACCUGGGCUACACACGUGCUACAAUGGCAAGUACAACGAGCAGCUAACCCGCGAGGGUACGCGAAUCUCUUAAAACUUGUCUCAGUUCGGAUUGUAGGCUGCAACUCGCCUACAUGAAGUCGGAAUCGCUAGUAAUCGCGGAUCAGCACGCCGCGGUGAAUACGUUCCCGGGUCUUGUACACACCGCCCGUCACACCAUGAGAGUUUGUAACACCCAAAGCCGGUGAGGUAACCUUUUAGGAGCCAACCGUCUAAGGUGGUACCG
rnacentral:rRNA from 1 species